GCAGAUCAAAUCAUCAACCCCCCCCCCCCCCCCCCCCGGUUCGUCCGUCGUCUCCGAGCCGCCGCCGUGCCCCCGUCGUCGCCACCCAUACCAUGUCCCUGGACCCUGGUACGUCGCCUCUUCCUUUUCUCUUUCCCUCUCCCCGCCGCCGCCCCCUGAUGUGCCGCCUACCAGCCAUCUCCCUCCGAUUGCCCGCACCCGCAGUUGCACCGCCCGCUACUCCACCUCCACCCAUCGUUCCUCACCCGCUUCGACAUCUUCCCCGGUUGGAAUUGGCCUGUGACCGGACACCGGCGCUCGCGACCGCCAACGCUAGACGCCUGACCUGCUGUGGUGAGCUUUCCUGCUGCCAACGCGCUCUCCUCCCCACGCACGUCCCAUGUCUCCGGUGCUGGAACAGCGGACGCACCCCCGGCCGAACCACCGUGCGCCACCCCGCACGCUGGUGGCCACCUCCAGCCCGCCAAUCGCCUCGCAGACCCCCAAAUUGGGUACGCACGUCGCGAAUUCCGAUCCUAACCUAACAAUCUCUACUCACGCCCCAUGAUCCCGUUCCAAUCUCCUGAACCUCGCAUCCUUCCUUCCUUCCUUCCUUUCUCUCCAAGACUCCAGCGCAUCAUUCUCCCAACCUUGCAGUCGGCGUCCUUCCGAUCUUCCCGAACGUUGCCCUGCAGAUCCCGUCCUCACCACCUCUAUCAUGCCCGGCAAUCCUCCACCAUGCACAGUCCAGCAUCGAGAAGACUGAGGCCGGACAGUGCUCAAAGAAAAUCGAUGACCUCGCUCCAUCCCGCCAACACCACAUUGUGUUACGUCGAAAAAAUUGCAAUACAUCUAUCUGUUCUAGCGGUGGUGAGGGGGAUGGGUAACGUCUCAACCCCAAGGGUCUACUACGGCUUGCUUGAUGGAGCCGUCCUGAUUGCCAUCUCCAAUUUUUCACCGCAGACUACCAUACUUUUCGUCACAGGACAGCAGCUCACAAUUCUGAAUUGGAGCCAAGAGAACUGUUUGCUUUCCUCAAGAAAUUAUUAUUUGCUUUAUUACUAUCCUAUUUCAUUUAUCCUCACAGUUAUUCAAUCGCAUUUAUUUCUUGAGGUGAUAUAUGUUUUACUUUACUGGUACAAUGGAAUAAAUUUUGGGUUAAUUUUCAUGUACAGUAUAGUAGUCUUUGCUUGCAUAUUAUUUUCAAGUGUGGUAGACUUUGCUUGCCUAUUAUUUUCUGUAAGUAAUGCAUUGGCUGAUUUUCUUUAAUUAAUGAUUCGUUUUAGUGUUCUGGUCAGCUACUAGCAAGGUUGGUCACAUGUUGUCUAGGUGAUAAGUUAUUAUUUCUUCCUUUCAUGUUAAUUCCCUAGCUUGGUCAUUAGAUAUUAUGGUUAGGUGAUGCAGAGCAAGAUGUGUUUGUACAUAUGAGACAUGGAGGAGUAGGAGGCAAUGCUGCUGUAGAAGUGCAGAUCCGGAGCAACUGGGUGGCGAUGACCUCCUCAAGCGGCGAUGGGAUUGGACCCGUAGAUUACUGCCUGCCCUCGACAGCUCCUACCAAAGACUGACGUGAAUCGUCAACAACGUAGUGCAGCACACGCACGACGCAAUCAGCGAGAUAUAGAGAUGGAUGGAUGUGCAAAAGCUAUGAGAUGCAAUUUUUUAGUGUCAAAGGAGCAGUACUCAUAGAUCGAGAUGCAAAAAUGGGAUAAGGAGCUGAUCCUCCACUUCUACCAUCUGCUUGGCAGUGGUCGAACUGCAUUCCACUCUAUUAUAAGGCCCUAAGGAAGAGGGUACUUUCUGCUUACCGAUGAAUCCCAAGAGAUGGCAAUAAUCUUUGGCUCUUAAGGUCUGCAUAGCCUCAUAUGUGUAUCACAUUUGAAUGCUAUUUGUCUUCCAUGCCACUUACAGAGGGAGAAACCACAUGCAACGAGGCAAUAAUAGAUCCUGAUGAAACAAUAAUUGGGUGGGUAAAAAUGGCAUUUCAACUGUCAUUAGAUUUCUGGUACAUGUAUCCUCCUAAACCAAUCAGGUCAUACCAUUUGUAUGAAGUCUACUACUAGAUAUAAAUUGCAAAAUCCUAAUCUUUUUAGUUGUUUAUUUCAUGCUCCUCUAUUCAAGGCUGUUGUCUUUCUUUGUUCCAAUAAAGUCUCUCCUUUAAGGACAGUAACCCUGCAGUAAGGUCUUCAAAAAUAUUUUUCCUGUGAAGCAAUUUUUGCUGCUAAUAACCUUCUCUCUGCAGAUGGUCAAAAAAAAUUAUGGCUAGCAAGGUAUCGACACAACAAUUAAAGUAAUGUUGUGAAGAGCCGAGUGAUAGGAGGAUUAAGCAUUGCAGCCUUAGCCACAUGACCUCUCUUUGGAAUUGAACGAUUGGCCAUCAAAAGCUUAUUGUUUAAAGUGCGCAUUGCUAUUUGUGUUGGUCUUUGUAUUCAUUCUCAUCAUGAAUUCAUGAUAAUUUCAGUAGUCUUGAAUCAUGAAUUCACAAGGUCUUCAUAUGAUCUCACACCAACUAUAAAGCACACUCUAACUAUUUUUCUUAGUAGACUCUUUGUUGUAUGGGUCUGGACUAGCCAUCUUUAAUAAUGCCCUUGUGUGCAUUUUUUUUCUUCUGGUACUUUUGAGGGAUCGAGUGGAUAAGUAGAGGGAGCAAGCUAAAGAGUUGGAGUGCCAGGUGUUAUUUUUGUUUCCUCCUAAUUGUGAUGAUCAUUUACCAAUACCACUCUACCAUAAUAGAUAUCGAGUUACUGAUGUUGUCUGUGUUGUUUUUAAUAUGAAGUUAUUAGUCAUUUUUGUUACAAGUUGCUACUUAUCAUGUAGGGAACUUUGGUGGAGAUUUUUAAUUCUCAUUAAGUUAACAUUGUGCAGCACUAUUUCAAUUUCAUUGUUUCGCUUUUGAACUGAAUAUAGAUCUUUUCAAAUGGGCAGCCUGUGCUGGUCACUUGUAAUUUUCCUUUAUCUGUAGAAGUGGGAGCUCUGAAUCAUUCUCUCCGUGUUUAAAAUAUGAUGGUGAGAGACGGCAUGCGAUAGGACGAUGCUAUUGGAGAUGGCAAAUGUGAUACGGUGAUGGUAAGACUGACAGAUGGUAGGAGCGGACCAUAGGUGGAGAUGCGGUGAAGAAUUGGUUUCUGAAGGAAGAUGUGGGUUCAGAGUUAUGAAGGUUGAUGUCUGAAUUUGACUUACACAAUGAAAAAUUAAAAUAUCAGUGUUAGAGUUUUUGUAUACUUGUCUCAUCAGGAAACUUAGACUUACCAAAUGAUCUAAUGGGAUCUAUUGCAUAACAUGGAUUUUACU